rnacentral:rRNA from 1 species
CAGCAGCCACGGGAAAACGGAGGGGGCUAGCGUUGUUCGGAAUUACUGGGCGUAAAGCGCACGUAGGCGGCUUUGUAAGUCAGAGGUGAAAGCCUGGAGCUCAACUCCAGAAUUGCCUUUGAGACUGCAUCGCUUGAACGUCGGAGAGGUGAGUGGAAUUCCGAGUGUAGAGGUGAAAUUCGUAGAUAUUCGGAAGAACACCAGUGGCGAAGGCGACUGACUGGACAAGUAUUGACGCUGAGGUGCGAAAGCGUGGGGAGCAAACAGGAUUAGAUACCCCCGUAGUCCCUGUCUCUUAUAC